rnacentral:tRNA from 1 species
UGGGUUGUGGCUCAGGGGCAGAGCACUUGCCUUGCAUGAAGGAGGCAUGGGGUUCAUUCCCCAGCACCACAU